CACGGGGGGAGCAAGCGUUGUUCGGAAUCACUGGGCGUAAAGGGCGUGUAGGCGGUCAAGUAAGUGGAAUGUGAAAGCCCCCGGCUUACCCGGGGAUCUGCAUCCCAAACUGCUUGGCUUGAGUACGGGGGAGGAUAGGGGAAUUCCUGGUGUAGCGGUGAAAUGCGUAGAUAUCAGGAGGAACACCGGUGGCGAAGGCGGGUCUCUGGGCCGAUACUGACGCUGAGGAGCGAAAGCGUGGGGAGCAAACAGG
rnacentral:rRNA from 1 species